GACCUAGCCUAAUGUUUCAGCAUGUCAAUACCAUUUUUAGAAUUCAGAUGGUGUCCUGAUGAGUCUUUAGUUUCACAACAAUAUAAAUUCAUAGGCAAAAAUGGAAAAUAGUCCAUGCUUUUUUUAAAAGUGAAAUCCAGUAAGUAAACUAUAACUUGAGCCAUUCUUCAUACAUAAUACGGAAAAAAGUCCUCCCUGUAAAUAAGAGACUGUGCCAUAGAUACUACAGAAGGAACAGGGAAUUACCAGGUAUCUUUAACCCUUCCAUUUUUACAUCCUAUGUUUGUAAUGUUCCAAUGCAAGGUUUCAUUUUACAGUUUUUUUCUGACAGCAUCAAAGUUUGCUCCUAUUUACCUGGAGUCUUGGGAGCCCCUACUCUUUGAGCAAGUCAGUACCGUUGCACAG
rnacentral:lncRNA from 1 species